AGCGAACGCUGGCGGCAGGCCUAACACAUGCAAGUCGAACGAACUCUUCGGAGUUAGUGGCGGACGGGUGAGUAACACGUGGGAACGUGCCUUUAGGUUCGGAAUAACUCAGGGAAACUUGUGCUAAUACCGAAUGUGCCCUUCGGGGGAAAGAUUUAUCGCCUUUAGAGCGGCCCGCGUCUGAUUAGCUAGUUGGUGAGGUAAAGGCUCACCAAGGCGACGAUCAGUAGCUGGUCUGAGAGGAUGAUCAGCCACAUUGGGACUGCGACACGGCCCAAACUCCUACGGGAGGCAGCAGUGGGGAAUCUUGCGCAAUGGGCGAAAGCCUGACGCAGCCAUGCCGCGUGAAUGAUGAAGGUCUUAGGAUUGUAAAAUUCUUUCUCCGGGGACGAUAAUGACGGUACCCGGAGAAGAAGCCCCGGCUAACUUCGUG
rnacentral:rRNA from 1 species